CCCCUGUGAUGAGCUACUUCUCCUGACCUACUGCAAUGGAGGCUAAAUUGAUUUAAUGAGUCUGAGGG